rnacentral:rRNA from 1 species
GAUGAACGCUGGCGGCGUGCCUAAUACAUGCAAGUCGAGCGAACAGACGAGGAGCUUGCGCCUCUGACGUUAGCGGCGGACGGGUGAGUAACACGUGGAUAACCUACCUAUAAGACUGGGAUAACUUCGGGAAACCGGAGCUAAUACCGGAUAAUAUAUUGAACCGCAUGGUUCAAUAGUGAAAGACGGUUUUGCUGUCACUUAUAGAUGGAUCCGCGCCGCAUUAGCUAGUUGGGAAGGUAACGGCUUACCAAGGCAACGAUGCGUAGCCGACCUGAGAGGGUGAUAGGCCACACUGGAACUGAGACACGGUCCAGACUCCUACGGGAGGAAGCAGUAGGGAAUCUUCCGCAAUGGGCGAAAGCUUGACGGAGCAACGCCGCGUGAGUGAUGAAGGUCUUCGGAUCGUAAAACUCUGCUAUUAGGGAAGAACAACUGUGUAAGUAACUAUGCACGUCUUGACGGUACCUAAUCAGAAAGCCACGGCUAACUACGUG